GACAGAGGGUGCAAACGUUGUUCGGAAUUAUUGGGCGUAAAGAGCUCGUAGGCGGUUUGUCGCGUCUGCUGUGAAAACUGGGGGCUCAACCCCCAGCCUGCAGUGGGUACGGGCAGACUAGAGUGCGGUAGGGGAGAUUGGAAUUCCUGGUGUAGCGGUGGAAUGCGCAGAUAUCAGGAGGAACACCGAUGGCGAAGGCAGAUCUCUGGGCCGUAACUGACGCUGAGGAGCGAAAGCGUGGGGAGCGAACAGG
rnacentral:rRNA from 1 species